rnacentral:lncRNA from 12 species
AUGCAUCUUCUGGGCAGGAACCAAAUCAAAGAUGUAAGCAAGAGGGUGAUAAUGAUGAUGGAUGAUGAUGAUGAUGAUGAUGAUGAUGAUGGCAAUGCAGAGGAGAUGGAAAAAGAUGAUCCUUUAACGCAAGUAUGGGGGUCAAAGAAGCUGCUUAUUUCUGAGACUUUGCCUUUGCAUUCCUGUAGGAGACAAAGGAAAAUGAAGUUUCUCUUCAGACUUUUGUUAGUCCCUUGGUCACCCAGAUUUUACAUUUUUGAAGUGGUAUAAUUUUAAGAGAACAAAACUCUUCCUCUUUAUAUACCACCAUCCUUAUUCUUUAAUAAAUGCAUAUUGGGUUUCUUUUGGUAAGAAAGG